UACGUAGGGUGCAAGCGUUAAUCGGAAUUACUGGGCGUAAAGCGUGCGCAGGCGGUUUUGUAAGUCUGAUGUGAAAUCCCCGGGCUCAACCUGGGAAUUGCAUUGGAGACUGCAAGGCUAGAAUCUGGCAGAGGGGGUAGAAUUCCACGUGUGAGCAGUGAAAUGCGUAGAGAUGUGGAGGAACACCGAUGGCGAAGGCAGCCCCCUGGGUCAAGAUUGACGCUCAUGCACGAAAGCGUGGGGAGCAACAGGAUUAGAAACCCUUGUAAGCA
rnacentral:rRNA from 1 species